rnacentral:rRNA from 1 species
AUUGAACGCUGGCGGCAGGCCUAACACAUGCAAGUCGCACGAGUGGCUGACGGGUGAGUAAUGUCUGUGAAACUGCCCGACGGAGGGGGAUAACUUCUGGAAACGGUAGCUUAUACCGCAUACCAUCGGAUGUGCCCAGAUGGGAUUGGCUAGUGGGUGGGGUAACGGCUAACCUAGGCGACGAUCCCUAGCUGGUCUGAGAGGAUGACAAGAAAGACAGGAACUGAGACACGGUCAAGACGCCGACGGGAGGCAGCAGUGGGGAAUAUUGCACAAUGGGCGCAAGCCUGAUGCAGCCAUGCAGCGUAUAUGAAGAAGGCCUUCGGGUUGUAAAGGACUUUCAGAGAGGAGGCGUUACUCGCAGAAGAAGCACCGGCUAACUCCGUGACAGCAGCCGCGGUAAUAC